rnacentral:misc_RNA from 1 species
AAAGUCGUAACAAGGUUUCCGUAGGUGAACCUGCGGAAGGAUCAUUCUUGUAUUAUUUGCGUAAGCAAAACCAACUGUGUGAAAUGUGCCCGCUCAUUUGCAGUGUUUGUCGGACACUAGCGUCGGUUCUCAGGCCUAAAUAAAACUUGUGUUUGUUUGCUUGUUUGAAAGCUGGUUGCUAUGUGUUUGACGCCUGCAUCUGGGCAAUUAUCUCUAAGAUUUAAAGUCUAUACAUCUACGCUUUACACGUCUUACAACAAUUAACGUAAACAUAUACAACUUUUAGCAACGGAUCUCUAGGCUCUC